AGUCACUGAAUACACUGACCUAACCCGCCUGCUGUCUCUGCACGGGCCCAACAAAAUAAGCAAUAAGGCUCUGCGCGUAUGUGUUUUCGCCUUAAAGUGUGCCAAGGGGUGCUGAUCAAUGCGGGAGACACAGUCAGGUGGGGAGUUUGGGUGGGGAGGAACACUUGGUUAACAAUCGCGCAAGUUUCCUAAUGCAAGCCGAAUGAGAACAGAAGUCUCACGUUGGAAAAACACGGAAAAGCGUGCUCGAUUUUGAUUUCAUUAAGAAUAAAAACCGUAAAAGUAUGGCCUAACGAUCCUUUGCCUCUGAGAAACUUUCAGCUAGAGGUGUCAGAAAAGUUACCACAGGGGUGACUGGCUUGUGGCAGCCAAGCGUCCAUUGCGACUUUGCUUUGUACCAUCAUUCUCGUGUACGUUUCUGACAUCAUGUC
rnacentral:ncRNA from 1 species